CAGCCGCCGCGGUAAGACGGAGGGUGCUAGCGUUGUUCGGAAUCACUGGGCGUAAAGGGCGCGUAGGCGGCCUGUUAAGUCGGAUGUGAAAGCCCGGGGCUCAACCCCGGAACUGCAUCCGAGACUGGCAGGCUUGAGACCGGGAGAGGAGGGUGGAAUAUCCAGUGUAGAGGUGAAAUUCGUAGAUAUUGGAUGGAACACCGGUGGCGAAAGCGGCUCUCUGGCCCGGAUCUGACGCUGAGGCGCGAAAGCGUGGGGAGCAAACAGGAUUAGAUACCCCAGUAGUCCCUGUCUCUUAUAC
rnacentral:rRNA from 1 species